ACCAGCUGCUGCUCAGGGUCUUCGCCUGCAACUCCUUCGGACUCUGCCAACUGACCGUUAUCUAUACGAGUUUAAACAUACAUUCCACGAUUUUAAUACAAAAGAAAAAUACACCACACAAUAGAAUAUAACAAAUAAACAGACGCUUGGUGUAGGGCUCGCACCUACGACUAAGCGAGAAAGAGAAAAACAACGGUCGAGGCUACGGUCGAAAAGCGAUUAUGUUAAUCAGUUAUGAAUUAAAUUACUUGUCUAAACAUAACCAUAUUAAUUUGACAAUCACGUUAUGCAUCAAAAAAAGUUACGCUACGCGUUUAAUUAUUAUAAACAAUUCAGGGUAAAUUUAAAAGGGUUGUCGCGCGGUGAAACGCACGAUGACACACGCGAACUAAACCAAAAAUUGGGACGAGUUGCUGCAACGAGGCGCACGACAGCACACACGAACUAAACUAAAAUUAAAAUGAGUCGGCGCGCGGUGAAACGCGCGACACAACACUUAAACUAAACUGAAAUUAAAUGAAUCGUCGCGCGACGAAGUGCGCAACGAAACACUUGAAUUAAAUAUGAAAAUAACGUAAAGCGCCGCACGACGAAGCGCACGAUGGCAUACGCCACUUGAACUGAAUUUAAAACAAAACGUCACGUGACUAAACGCGCGACGCAACACAUUAAAUAAUCUGAAAUUAAAAUGAAUCGUCGCGUGACGAAGCGCACGACGCAGCACACUAAUAAAUAUGAAUUUAAAAUAAAUCGUCGCGCGACGAAGCGCGCGACGUGGCACGUAAAUUAAACUAAAUCUAAAACUAAUCAAACUAAAUUUUAAACGUCGCGCGCUAGGGUUGCGCGCGCGGGAACGGGCUGCGCGCGCCAAGGGCCAGACCGGGGCCACCGCCGGGGGCGCGCGAGUAGGGGAGAGGGAAGGGAGGGGAUGGAGAGAGGAGGGGGAGGGGAAGCUCACCUUGGGAUCCGACGAUUGGCGGCAACCGUCCACCGGAUCACACCUAGGGCAAAGGAGGUGGAAGAGAGGUGGAGGAGAGGGAGAGGAAGUUGUUGCGCGGGAAAAGAAAAUAAGAUAGAGACAGGAAGGGGCGCAUGGGGGGAGGUGGGAGCGCCAGGGGCGUGGGGGCAGGGGCCGGUCCGGGUCGGGUCGCGGGCCGGGCCAAAAACCCACUGCACGCACGACCACUAAACGAAAACAAACCGCGAGUCAAAAACCGAGACGAGACGGAUGCGCGAUCAGACACAACAUCAGACAAAGAAAUAUGCUUCAGCAUGAUGCAACAACCAUGUCAACUUAGGUUUUUGUUUACACGCGAUACGGACACCAGUCGUUAUACUGCUUUGAAAAUUGGAAGAAGGAGCGAAACGGGAAGAGAAAAGAGAGUAACACCUGAAUUUGAUGAGUAUCAGAGAAGAAAAAUUAUACCCCUCAAAUUCAGGACGUUACAGCGGAUGCGGCAGCGGACCAUCAUGGCAGCGACGUAUGCGCGACCGAGACCCUAGGAGGGGAGCGAAGCGGAGGGGAAGGAUGUUGGGGGCAAAACCGUGCACCAUGUGGACACCUACACUGAGUAGUAGAGAUUUACACCAUAAUAUUCAGCCUUACUCGUCAUUUGCAUCAAAAGGUCAUGAACCUUGCACCCUGCAUCUGGCAGCUACACCAGAAAAGGAGCCAGAAUGCACACUUGCGACACAUGUUUCGUUCCAGUAUAAUAGAGUGAACAACACUGAUGUGUGAUCUUGUCAAACGAACGACUGAAGUCGUACUAAAACAGUAUUUUCAAUGGGAGCAAGCACGGCCAUUCUUCAUACAAAAGCAAAUAGGCAGUUGAAGAACAGGUUGAGUCUAAGUGUAAACAGACUAAAAUUAUCAUUUUUUUCUUUUUCUACGAUAUGUCUUACAACAACUAUGAUACGGCAAAGAACGAAAUAGGUGCCAACAGACCUUGUUUCGUUGUAACUACUGCCGCACCACAAAAUCCGGUCUAGUUUAGAAACUUAAAUCAUCUUCAUAAUUUUCGAAGAUUAAGGAGAAAAUUAAGCUAGAUUUCUUCUCGAUCUCCGGGAUUCCCGGAGGGAAUUUAGGUAGUGUUUUGUUUCUGGAGUACAGUAGAAUAGAGACCCUCCGCUCUUAAUUUGCUGUUGUUUGGAUUGGUUCCAUAUAGAACGGAUUGACUCUAAAAAUGGAAACUUAUGUUCAAAUGGUGAACUAUCUGGUUUUUUAAAAAUCAUUCGGACGGAGCCGCUCCAUUCCAACCGGCACCGAAACCAAACACUACUUUAAAGUUUACAAACUAGUCAUAAACAUGUUCAAUUUAGGCCCCUUUGAUAGGGCUCUCUGGACGGCUCCUCCUAUGGCUCUUCGUGAAGCCGUGCUCAAACGACCUUAAAAAAUGGCUCAUCGUCGAGAGCCAUCAAGGAGCCAGAGCCGUUUUGCUAUUAGGAGCAGAAGCACAAAAAAAUAGGCUUCUACUGGCUCCUUCUAUCCUACAUAUAAUAAUGUUUUAGGAAAUUACAAUCCAUACCACCAUCUUUCUAUGAGAAACUGUUUUACUAAAUAAAUUUUAAAAACGGUUCUGGCUCUUCUAGAGAAGAAAAAAAAACCAGAGUCAGAGCUGUUUUGAGAAUAGUCGGAGCCUGACACAGGGAACCUUAAAACAAAGCUAAAAUUGCAUCAGGGUAACCAUCGCCUUUAACAUGUUGAGCUCAGAGCAGGGGCGUUGAAACGAUAACAGCCUCGUCAGUUGUCAGAGAGCGCACCAUGCGUGAAGCCGGGCAUCGCUAUUCUUGGCCAAAACCAGCAGCCGCGCUCCAAAAUCCCCGACCCCCGCUACGGCUGGCCCAUGCGAUGCGGGUGCCUCUCAUCCCUCGCCACCGUCCUCGCCGCGCACGCGCGUGUGCGCGUGCGUGCGCGGGGAGCUCGUGAAACCUCUCUCCUCCCCCUUCUCCGCCUCCCUUUCUCUCUCUUCGCGUCGACCUCCCGCUCUGCCCCUCCCUGGAAAACAGCGUGCCGGGCCGGCCAGCCUUUCCCAUCCGCGCGCGCCCGGGAAUAGGGGCCGCCCGCACCAUCGACGCCGGCCAAUUCACCCGCCGUCGUCAAGUGCUGGCGCCGGCGGGCUGGCUCCCUGGCACCGGCGCCGCCGCCCCGGACAUGGCCGGAGCGCCGUCGUCGCUAGCGCGCCUCCUCCUCCUCCUCCUGCUAGCUGCCGGAUGCCUCCUCCCGCUGGUCGCUGACGCCGCGCGGCUCACGCUGUCCCUCGCGCCCGCCGCCGACGCGCUCCUCAGGCUCAAGGCCGGCAUUAAGGACGACGGCGGCGCGCUCGGCAGCUGGUCCCCCGACACGAGCCCCUGCGCCGACGGCGGGCCCAGCUGGAAGGGCGUCCUGUGCAACAAGGACGGCGUGCACGGCCUGCAGCUCGAGGGGAUGGGCCUCUCCGGCACGCUCGACCUGCGCGCCCUCACCAGCCUGCCCGGCCCCGGCCUCCGCACGCUGAGCUUCAUGAACAACGAGUUCGCCGGCCCGUUGCCCAACGUCAAAGAGCUCAGCGGCCUCCGCGCUGUCUUUCUGUCCGAGAACAAGUUCUCCGGUGUCAUCCCCGCCGACGCGUUCGCCGGGAUGGGCUCGCUCAAGAAGGUGGUCCUGUCCAAUAACGACUUCACUGGCCCCAUCCCGGCGUCGCUCGCCGACGCGCCCAGGCUCCUGGAGCUGCGCCUCAACGACAACAAGUUUCAGGGCAAGAUCCCGGACCUGAAACAGGAGGAGUUGACGGAAGUCAACCUCGCAAACAAUGAGCUCGAGGGGGAGAUCCCGGCGAGCCUCAAAUCCAUGACAUCGGACAUGUUUGCCGGUUAGCAACAUUUUCUACAACAUCAUGCAUGCAUGAUGUUUGGUGCAAGUGCAAUGUCCACUUGCAUCCAUAUGACGUUGUUGUUCUACAAUAAUGCAUGCGUGCAGGCAACAAGAAGCUUUGCGGCCCGCCGCUCGGUGCCAAAUGCGAGGCCCCCCCGACGCCGUCACCAAAGGCGCAUCCGCAGGCCUCCGUCAAAGAAGGCACCACGCCGUCACAAGCAGCAGCAGACACCGUGGCAUCCACGGGCGCGUCGUCAGCAGACGACCCGAAGCAAGACGAAGGCCAGGAGCCCGUCGAGGGCUCCAUUUCGUUCGGCGUCUCCGCCGCGUUGCUUGGCACGCUUUUGAUCGCCGGCGUGGCGUUCAUCGCGCUGCGGAGGCGGAGGGGGUACAAAACCAAGAACUUCGGCCCGACCGCGUCGUCGUCUCGCCCCUCGGGGCCGCCAAGGGUCGAGCCGCACCCGCCGGCGGCAAAGGCGCCCGCCGCCGCCGGGGGCGUGGCGCACGGCGGCGGCGCGGCGCGGAAGGCGGAGCAGGGGCGACUGACGUUCGUGCGCGACGACCGCGGCCGGUUCUUCGAGCUGCAGGACCUGCUCAAGGCGACGGCGGAGGUGCUUGGCGCCGCCAACCUCGGCGUGUGCUACCGCGCCACGCUCACGACGGGCCAGUCCGUCGUCGUGAAGCGGUUCAAGGAGAUGAACCGGGUGGGCAGGGAGGACUUCGAGGAGCACAUGCGGCGGCUGGGCCGUCUCAGCCACCCCAACCUCCUCCCGCUCGUCGCCUACUACUACCGCAAGGAGGAGAAGCUGCUCAUCCACGACUACGUCCCCAACCGGAGCUUGGCGAACCUCCUCCAUGGUGAGUACACUGUUCAGUGUUCACCUCGAGCUCGUCGUCGUCACCGAUCAUCCCUCUAACCUUUGGCUGGCGGAUGCAUGCUUGGUGUUGGCGCGUUCGUUCGUUCGCACAGGCGGCGGCGAGAGCGGCGGGAUGAAGAAGGCGGCGGUGCACUGGGCAGCGCGGCUGAAGAUCGUGAAGGGCGUGGCGCGGGCGCUCAGCUACCUGUACGACGAGCUGUGCAUGCUCACGGUGCCGCACGGCCACCUCAAGUCGUCCAACAUCCUGCUCGACGCCCACCACGGGCCGCUGCUGACGGACUACGCGCUGGUGCCGGUGAUGAACCAGUCGCACGCCGCGCAGCUCAUGGUGGCCUUCAAGUCCCCGGAGCGGAAGCAGUUCGGCCGCUCGUCCAAGAAGAGCGACGUCUGGUGCCUCGGCCUGCUCAUCCUCGAGAUACUCACUGGAAGGCCGCCGACCUACGACCCGCCCAAGGCGGCGGCGCCCUCAGGCGAGCUGUCGUCGUCCCAGCAGAAGCCGGGGCCGGCGGCGGGCAACACCGACCUGGUGACCGUCGUGGGGUCGACGCCGGAGGGCGAGUGGCUGAACACCGUGGUGGACCGGGACCUGCGGGGCGAGGAGGAGGAGGACAAGGAGGAGAUGGUGAAGCUGAUCAGGGUCGGCAUGGCGUGCUGCGAGAGCAACGUGGACAACCGGUGGGAGCUCAAGACCGCCAUCGAGAGGAUCGAGGAGCUCAAGGCGAAGGAGCGCCCCGACGAGGAGCAAGCGACGGUGAUCGACGAGGACUACAGCGAUGUUGCCCUCAACUGAUCAUCGACACGAACCGGCCGGGAAUCGAUCGAUAGGGAGGGUUGUGCGCAAGCUGAUGAUAUGAGCCCAAAAUGUGAUGACCUGCAUGCAUGCCGAGACCCUAAACAUGGACUAGUACUGUGUAUUCUUAUAUACCUUUGCUGGUUGUUAAUUGCCGGUGGUAGGUUUUUGGAGAGAAAAGAAGCUACUUAUAUAUAAUCACACAGAUCUUAGUUUGCUUUUCUCAGUGAACAGAAAUCUAUUACAAAGCAUCUGGUGGACAACUGGUGCUGCAACCUCCCCUUGCUACCUCUUAGAUCUAAUCUGGUACUCCAUCCAUUCAAAAAUAGUACUCUCUCUAUUCUUUUUUAUUUAUCGUCGUUUAGUUUAAAAAUAAACUAGCGGGCGAUAAAUAUUCAAGAACGAAAAUAAUAUUCGUUUUAUCUCUUAGUUUGUAUGUUUAUAUAUAAAUGGACGAUAAUAAAUCUAAACACAUCAAGUAUUAAAUUAUAGUACUUUAAAAUAAUUUUAAUUGAUACGGAGGGAGUAUGAAAUAACACCUUCAGUUCAGAUCGCUCAUAUAUUAGCUAUCAUAUCUGCUUGUUCCUUCUUCGUUGUUUUCUCAUUGACUCAUUGUAACCUCUCAUGGGGCGGACCCCAGCCCUUCUUGGCUAUUAUCACCAGGUGGGGCCGUGGGGGAGAUUCUCCCCUGUUGACAAUCGGAAAAAGUUACAAAGCCAUUAAUUGUGUGAAUGGACGAUCAACUAUUCUAAUUUGUGCCAAUUAUCAAGAGUAGGGCCACACAAAAAGGUUCGUUCUUUGAAAAUUUCAUCCUCUUAUUGUUUUUCAGUUUUCACACAUAUAAACCACUAUUAAAAUCCGUCCUUUCAAAAAUUAAAAAAAAACGAUCAAAAAUCACAUCGAAACUAGUAGAGAGGUGGUAGAUAAAUCUGUCAGCUUGGACAGACGGGUAACUACUACUUUUUUUAAAGCAACGCAGUUGACUUUAUUUAUUUGUGAUAGUUUACAUUGUUGAUCAGAAAAAUCUUGCUCAAAGGAAUGGCAGCUCGCUCAUCACAUGGUCAGCUCGCUCAUCACAUGAUUUUUUUUGGGAAAAAAAUUGCUGCAGCCCCGCUGCAAACGAGGAUGUUUGCAGCCUCCUCAUAAAAGGAAGAUAUAUCUCAUCUGCAGGUAUACCAGAUAACGUUUUAGUUGUGUUAUUGACCUGCUUUUUACGAGAAACUGCAAAAAUACUAGUUUAUAGCCGAGGCUGUAGCAAAUUUUUUCCUUUUUUGGAGGGCUUUCUCCCUCGCAGAUGAAACGACGACAUGCAGGCCUGCCAAGGUUCGAGACGAGGCGAAACGUCAACAGGCCCGCCGUGUCUAGGGCUCUAGGCCCAUCAGUGCGUGCCUUUUGCGGCGCGCCUUACAGUUUUUUUAGUUUAUCUCUACAACUAUUAAGACUCAUCUGUAGACUGCCCCCGCUCUCCCCUAACUCCCGCGGCUCCCGCGCGCCCGCCGAGGAUCCCGUCGCCCGCCCGCACAACACCGCGAUUCGCGGGCGCCAGCCGCGAUUCCCGCCGCCCGGCAACCAAACACCGCCGAGGAUCUCGCGCGCGCCCGCCCGCCCCCACCCAGCCACGAUUCCCCACCCAACGCGCGCGAGUCACGCGCACGUCGCGCCCACCGCCGAGGCAGUUGGCGAAGACGAGCGUGUACUGGCCGGGCUCGGAGACGCGGACGGCGGUGGAGAAGGAGGAGGAGCGAGCGACCUCGACGCCGGCGGGGUUGGAGGGCGGGCGGAGGCGGUCGAAAGAGAAGGCGAGCUUGACGAGCUCGGACUGGAGCGCGCAGGUGACGUCGAGGUCCUAGAGCUGGCGGAGGACGUGGACCCAGGCGUCGAGCGUGGAGAGGAAGAAGCCGAGUUGGGAGAGGUCCAGCUCCGCGGAGGCCUGCGGGUCGAAGGCGAUGCCGGAGACGUUGAGCUCCAGCACGCCCGAGUGGGAGAAGCCGAACUCGUCCAGCGGGAUGAUGCUCUGCGCGUCGGCCCGGAUUGCGGUCUCCCGGAUCUCGGCCGCCGCAGGGGGAACCAGCACCAUCGCGGCGACGAGGAAGAGGAGGGCGGUCAGGGAGGGCCCCCGGUGCGCCACGGCGUGCAGCGACGGCGAGGCGGCCAUUAUGUGUGCUCGUCCAGCAACCUUUGUGCUCUGCUUUCUCCGCUCACCCCCUUCCCCUCAACGAUAGACACCAAGGUAUCCUUUCUGAAUCUGGCUAUUGAGGUAGAUAAUGUUUUUCACCAUUUUAAGUUUUUUUUCUUUACGUUGAUAAUAGACUAAGGCUGAUCUUGAGGAAGUUGCUGUCGCUGAAGCUGAUAUUAUGAACUUGCAGCAAAAGGUUUCUGAUCUUCGGGGACAACUCAACAACCAAGUUCAGUUGAGUUCCACCUCGUUAUGUGAAUCAUGCAACAGCAAGCGAUCCAUAAAUGCAGACAAGUUUGUCGAGUAAGGUUUUACUGCUAAGCAUUCAAUAUUGGUAUAUUAUUAUUUUCUCACUGUUUAUAAUAUUUGCCUCCAUUUAGAAACCUUGGUUGAGAUAUAAUUGCCCUUGCUUUCUGCAGAGGUGAACAAAACGUUGCCCUUUCUCCACAGAUUGCCUCAGUCGAAGCACCACCAAUUGUAGGGUCUUAUUCUGUACCUGACAUGUUCUGGGCUACAAACCAGAGAUUUCUGAUGAGUUGAAACUGGAGGUCCUCGAUGAUCUUAAGAGAGAUUUCUCUCGUAUCGAGGACUACUGAGAUUGGUUUUCUAGGCUUCAGCUUAGCAACUUGAACAGUUCCAAUAUUUCAAAUAGAAAGGAUGCUAUAUCAAAUAGGUUGAAUAGAUCAAUUCAGGUAAAGGAAUUAUAUCCCCACUUUCGUACAAAUAUAAACAUCUGUGAUUAUUAUAUGCUUUUGUACCUAAUUUGUUUGUGAAGAAAUUGUUAUUAUAUGCUUGUUAGGGAAACUCUCUAAUGCCAUUUGCAGUUAUAAUAUUAGAGUUUGACAAAUAUUUAUACUUGUACAGCAUAUAGUGUACCAUUUAAAACUGUCCCUUCGUAAUAGCGUAAUAGCCUUGUAGUAUGUCCGUCUGUUGCAGUUUAGAGCACAAUGGUUCUUUUCCCAUUUCAUAGCCAGGAUCUGCCAGCUACACUACACACUAGAUCUGACACACUUUUAUGAACAUUCUAAUUUUAUAUUGUGGUGUGGAUUCUAGGUGUAUGAUGAAGCUGUCAGAAGGCUACAAACUUCCAAAAUGUAGUAGAUGGCUACAAACUUCCAAAAUGUAGUCAUUGUAUGCAAAGCUUUGGAUGGAUAUUCAAUAUCCUGAGAGAGAAGAUUCCAUCACACUAUUCCAGGAUUAUGAAUUUGAUGCUUCAGAGUUCACGUCAUCCAUACCGAAAGUUUAGGAAAAAUGCAGAAUCAUGUGGGUGUCUUAGUGAGGAUCUUGCUUGCCAAUACAUAUCAUUUUACUUGAAACUAGAAAGACCGGAGGAAGCUAAGACUCUUGCAAAAAAUAUUUGCGAUGGUCCUCUUUCAAGUGCUGCAAAUUUGUGGUUCCUGAGAGCUUCUAUGGAGAUAAAUUCAUUAGCGACUGCUCCUGACAGCUCUUCAUUGAAUAAGGAGAACUUGUGCUCUCUGUUUGAUUUGGUUAGCACUGUACUUUAUUAGUUGUCUGUAACUGAGGCCAAGAGAUUUUGGCAUAUGGUAAGUUCUUUAGAUCAACAUUGGCAAACUUGGGUUUUACCUUACUACUAUGACUGUGUUUGAAAUUGUUCGUGAUGCAUUUCAGGCCAUGAAAUUGUUUUACCAUGAUAAGGUCUGCUUCGAGAAGCUGGUGAAGAUUGCAAUGCUAUCAUUAUGUUCUCAACAGGCAAGUAUAAACCAUCAUGGAUUCUAUGUUGAACAUUUGUUGUAUGAGAUUUUGGUUUAGUGCAUUAUUUAUAGGUUGAGCAUUUACGACAGUAAGAUAAUUGAUAUUAUUCAUAAAAAAUAUAUCUCUACUCCUAUUAAGGGGCAAAGGAGGGUGGUGUGCAUAGGGGCGAGGCCAUGCCCUUGCCCCAGCGCCCCCGUACUCUCGGCUGUUGUCCCCGCCCGCUCGUCCCCCUAGAAACCUCGUCGUCGCCCUCCCCCGCGAACUCCACCAACAGUUCUGCUCGUCCCGCUCGUUCGGCUCGAGCGCUCGGCCGUUCCAUUCCCUUCACCUUUUUCCAUUCUAUUACUUAUACAAAUGCCUUCCUUUUCUUAUAUCCUGUAGAUUGGUACAGCAAAUUAUCGAUGCUAUUUUGGUUCUGGACAUUGAUGAUCCUCCCUGCGCUAUUGCUGCAGGAGCUCUUUUAUUUGUUUUGGCAAGUGAUGUGAGUACCUCUUGAUCUCAGUUUAAAUCCUGCAUGCUGUUCUGCAUACUGAAUACCACUUAUCUCGAAGUUGCCUUCACCUAGAUGAUUACAUGGUGGAGAAAAGCUAUUAAUUUCCACUAUGUUUUCUCUUUUAGCUGCAACCACUUCUUUCGCAUUACAAUGCCACCUGUUUUCACAUUACAAGGCUGGCAUGUUCUAUUAGAAAAUCAAACAAGAAACACCAUGAGAUUAAUCUCAAUAUUUUUUUAAUAUAAAAACUAACUAGAAAUUUGUUGGAGGUAAAAUCUCAGGCAAUGUUGACAUUUAACCUUUUUCAUUAGUUUAAGUGUUUGACCUAAAUGACUAUCUCUCGAGGGGAAAAGGCCUUCUGUUUCUGCUGUUAUUCACGAAGCUGCUUAUGAAGGUGCCAUUUGGUGUAGGGAAGGUGCCAGUGCCCUCUAAGAGCUCCUGGCACGUCAGUUCAACCUUGGAAAUUGGUUGUGGUGUUAGUGGUUGGGUGUGGGGUCUGUUGUUUUGGUGGCCUUGAGGACAUCAUAUAGGCGUUCAGGUCAUAGCCAACCAUUGUACCGGGGCUCACCUUUCGGUAGUCUUUUAUCUUUUUUUCUUAAUGACUCACACAUCUCCUGCUUUUGUUCUAAAAAACCACUUCCUUUCUUUUCUACUUAAUAAAGUUUUUGACUUUUCAUUGUCUAUGAGAUGCAACUUUAUCCAUUGGUACAACUUAAUGGAGGCAUUCGAAUGAUAACUCUAAUGAUAUUUUUAUAUAGUGAAUCUAUGUAACUCUAACCUUACAGGCAUACAAAUGGUCAACCUUUAGAAUUUGAUUGAUGGCACUAGAUUGUGGAACUCAGGUAGUAAUACUUCAAUACGGGUUCUGCUUAUUGUUUCCUUUGUUAUUAUUCAGGUCCAAGACAAUAAUUUGCUGUCUUCAGAAACUUGUGUCCAUUUCCUCCUCAAAUUGUUAAACCCUCCGGUGAAUGUUGUUGAUGCCAAAGCACCAUCAAUAGGUUCCAAACUUCUUGGAAUCGGUAAAUUUCAGAUGCUUAACGGUUCCAAUAAGGAUGUGGACUCUUGUUCAGAGGACAUACUUUCAAAAGUUGAAGAAAUCCUCUUAAGCUGCAAAGAGAUCAAACCAGCAGACAGGGAUUAUAAGAGAACAACAAGGCCGGAACUAUGUUCAAAGUGGCUUGCUUUGUUGACAAUGGAAAAGGCGUGCUUGUCUGUUGUUGCAUUAGAGGGUAAAUUCUCCAAUCAAAAUUUUGGAUCAUGAUUCUUUAGGUCUGAUUUUAUUAGUCAAAGCAAUAAAAUCAAAUAAUAAGAUAAGUAAUAUCUUACAGCAUUACAUGGAUGAUUUUCUCAGGUUAUUAUCUCACUUGUUAUUGAUUGUUGUCAUAUUUAGAACUUUGAGUAUUUUUCUUACUUUUAAUUUAAUAAACCUAAUUUAGUAGCAAGGUUUGCCAUCACAUCAUCAGUCUGAAGUGCUAUAACAUUUUUACAGAUACAUCUGACAAGGUGUUAGAACUCGGAGGAAAUUUCAAAGAAACAUUAAGGCAGUUGGGUGGCCUUGAUGAUAUUUUUAAUGUCAUGGUGAAUUGCCAUUCAGAACUGGAGGUAAGACCUUAUUUGUGUGUAUGUAUGUUCUCUAACAGUUUAUACAAAACUAUUAAAUUGGCAUUAUUUGUUAUUUUGUUCUGCUAUGGUAAAGGAUGGUUAACUUUUGAGCCUUGUACAAUUCAUGCUCCAGUAUACUUGGAGCUGCAAUCUGAUGAAUAUUAUUUUGAGCAACAUGAAAAACAUGUUGCAAGACAAGGAUAUGUUGCAGUAAUUGCUUUGGUUGAAAUGUUUUAGAUUUCAAAUGUACUGUUGGGUUUGUGUUGGGUUUCAACUCUAGCCUACCCCAACUUGCUCGGGACUAAAAGACUUUGUUGUUGUUGUUCAUGUACUCUUACUGUGAUUACCAAUACAUUUUGAACUUUGGAGAAAUGAUGAAGUAAUCCUUUGAAGGCCUUGAAAUUUGAAUUUCCCAUCCCAUAUACUCCCAAGCUGAUGAUUAUUAACAGUCCCAUCAAAUAGUGUCAUCAAUGGGGUGUUUGGUUCGAGGAAUCACCUUAUCCUUGAUGGGGUGGUCCAUCAUCAGGUGAUCCUAUAUGAAUUUGGUGGGAUGAUCUCAUUCUCCAUACAUAUACUAAUUGUGUGCAUAUGAGGAAUGUGAUGAUGAUAGAUCACCCUAUUCCAAUACUUAAACCAAACAUUAAUUUGAGGUGUGAGAUGAUGAUGGACCACCUCUUUACAAACCGAAUAAAACAUAGAUGUCUUUUUGAGUUUUUGUUCUGUUCAGUAUUUUCUUUUUUUAUCUUUCUAGACAUCUUGCUUGCACACUACCUCUUAAUUAAGACCCACCCAAAUAUUUUUCUUUACCUGAAAAGAAAGAAACGCAGCAUUCUGGAAUAUGUCUAGGCCUAGGGCUACUUUUUAGGCUAAAACAGCUAUCAUGCGAGAACGAUUAACUAGAAGCUAGCAGGUGGUGUCUGGUCAUGCUGUUGUAAUUAGGGUAGUUGGGUUUGCUUCCAAACUGCAAUAAGAUUCCUUCCUAAGCAUAGUUGUUUAGAUUUUGACAGAAUAAGUUUCCAAAUUACAGGUUUGUUCAAAUACUGCGUAUUCAGAACAGGGGGUCUCUUUCUUUGAAAUCUUACGUUUGCUACCUCUGUUAUCUUCUUUUCAUCCCUAUAGUGCAUACAAUUAAUAUCAGACAUGAAAUAGUAUAGUUAACCCAAAUUUGUAAACACAACAUUAAACAUUUGAGUACAUAUAACAUACACCACAAAAAUUUGAAGGUUUGAGUCCAAAUUUACACCAAAUAUUUUUAUAUAGCCAAAUCUUCACUGAUCAAUAUAGAGGAAGAGCUUAAAACAGUCAUCUUCAUCGUUCCUCCCCAAUUUGAUCUCCUAGGCAGAUAAGCCUCACUCUGAUCCUCAUAAUCUUCACAAAGUGGCAGAUAGAGACAUGUCUUCCAUUGAUGCUUGUGUGCCUACUUUACAUGCUUGUAUCCAAGAGUAGACAUCCGUUGUCUCAAGGAAUUUAAUUAUCUAACAUUUGUUCUAACAGAUGAAGUGCAUGUCGUUAGAGUUGGUUGCAUGUACUAUAUAUGUGGACAUGUGAGCACGUGUUAACUUGGUUUUUAAUAUUUACCUUCCCAUCUUUGGACAUGUGAGCAUGGUAUUGUAAUGCAGUUCUUCAACGAAUGGCCCACAAUAGUGCUUGCCCUUUUGAACUCAGCCAUAUUCAAAAUCAUCACAUGCUCACAUAUUCAGUAAGGAAAGCAAUAGAUUGACAAUUAACUUAUUUCGAAAACAGUGGAUUGUGCUUCUUCAGUUCACCAUCAUAUUCAAUUUUGUGAUUGUAUGCUGCUGUUACAUGGUAUUGGUAAAAAAUUCCUUCAAGUGUUCAUGGUAUUUUUAAUUUAGCAUUCAUGGUUGAAAAUGAUAAGCUAAUGCUUUGUAGCUCAUACGUGAGCUGUAGUGUCGUCCUGCAUUUAACAAAUGUUAAGGACAAUUUUAAGUGCAAAGUUACAAUAUUAUCAACAUUUUGCCAUCAUGUUUUUCUUCUCUUUGCAUGUGAAUUUUUUUGUUCAAUAAGAUACAUGUAUCCUUCACAACCGAUAUUGUUAUGUGAGUGGUCUAAGUUUUUUAAUCCUUCCAGUAGUAGCCAUAACUUACAAAUCUUCCACUGAUGAUUACAGAGGACCACGAAGGGCUUGCAUAUUGCACUGGAUACUUCAGCUUGCAGCAGGUGUUGUGAAGAGUUUCAGUGCACUUCGUAGUUCAUGGAUCAAGAAUUUCAUUCUGGCUUUUGCGUCUUCGGUGUUCUCUUUCUAUUUUGAGACGUUGUUUGUGUUGGGGCAUGAGAAAAUUUGUGUGUUUUUAAGGGCUUAUGUGCUAUUACUAUUCUCUCUAUGGUGUACGAAUCUUUAAAGUGAAUAUGAUCUUUGUAUUGGUUUAGUUGUGUAUUGGUUAUUGAUAAAAUUUUUGUGAGAUAUUGAGGUUAAGAUAAUAUGUAUUGUUCGUUUUCGUGCAAGCAUUGUGCACUAAUAUUUUAUUUCUCUAAAUUGCUUCAGUUGCUCUACCUGUUUUAGAGGAUUCAUCUUUAGAUGGGUUGAAUGUUGUCAUAAUACUUAUCCAUAUGUAAGUAAUGUAGAAAUCAUGCCACAACAUAUAUCCUCGCAACAUAAAAGAUAAAAUGGUUAUAUUUGUGAGUUAAAAUAAUUUUGAUAGUCACAACUCAUUGUCCCCUUAUGACAGGCUUAGGAUCUCCUUUUUAUAAUUUUCACCCUGCAAUACAAAAUUAUUCUAUGGAGGUCAUGAUACAUCGUCAUAUAUUGUAUUACCAACUUAGGCUGAGAUCUCUGAUAAGAAAAAGUACCCACAACUGUACAAGAUGGUUAUAAAGCAUAUGAUGCAUGGACCGUGCGGGUUGCUAAAUCCUAAAUGCCCAUGCACUAAGGGUCAUCCUUCAUGCAAACAUACAAAAGACUUAUCAAUAUCUCUACAAAGGAAUAUAUUAGUGUACGAUUGUCGAUAUAUUGUUUGUUUUCAUGUAAUUGUUGUGCACUCGCGUUUUAUUAAUAAUUUGUGAGUCGUCGCAAAUCGUCGCAACGCAGAGACACCGAACUAUCAUAUAUAUAGGUCUGCAUGAUAUUGAUGGUUGCAAUGUAGUGGUAAAACAGGUAGAUUAAAAUAACAAAAUGUAUAUGUAUAGCCAGGAUCACCAAUGAAUUACAAAAUCUUUUUUCAUAACAAUAUAACACAUUUAUAUAUAAGUUAUCAUGAUAUUAAUAUGUUCCCAUUGCAACGCACGGGAACUAACCUAGUAAUUAAUUAAUUUAUUACCUCCUUUCGACGAACCAGCCGGCACCAAAAGAUGGAUCACCGUGCACGGAGCGUGCGUCCGUUGCGGGAAACGACGGGGAUCUAGGCGACGCCGUGACGGUGAUGCUCCCGUUCACGUUUCGCAGCUUUCGCUGCACCCCUUUGAUUC
rnacentral:lncRNA from 1 species